UAGUGUGCGUACCCAUGCGAGCAAUUAGUUUUCAUACAUGGCUUGGUCCGUCCACUCCUUCCACAGAGCAAAUGCAGGCAGGAAAUCUUCCUCGCUGUGUCCGUUCAGCUCACUUCCACUCCUCAUGCGUGCAGGCGUCCACCUGCGUAAUAACAGCCCGAUAGAAAUGAAUACAUGUUGUCACGCCAUGAUGUCUGGUGCCACAGCCAAGUGACCAGUGCACGGACACGUUUCUUUUUUGGCAGUCAGAGGAAUCGACUGACACCUCUCAUGGAGUGUGCAGCACUGCAGCAACGUGAUGUCGUUAUGGGGAAAAGCCGAGAGUCUCUCUCUGUUAGGGUAAGGGUUUGAGCUUAAUGCAAAAAAGGAGGCGCUGUGAGGUGUUAUGAUACCCCGGGAUGGGCUGGUGGGGCUCGUGGUCCUGCACAAAGAUGCUGCAAAGGAGGGGAGGGAGGAGGGAGGGAUGGAGGGAGGAGGGGAUGUUGGGUCACUGCUGCGCUUUACAAAAAAAAAAUCACAUUUAUUUUUCUUGGCAAUGUUAAACUCUCCUUUUGUCUCUUUAUCCUUCUCAAUCUCCCUCAUAAAAAAGCACAGCACAAACAAGAACUUGACCACCCACAUGCCUCACAAUACGCCUCCUGCUUUACUUUUUCCUGCAGGACAAGAAGCGCUCCUCUUGGCUCGGAUCAAUGGAAACAGGA